GGCAACUUUUCCUCUGGACAGGUUUUGAUAAAUCUCCCCCACUGUUGUUCAGCAUGUCAUUGGCCAAGGCAGGGCAUUUCUGCAGCCUGCGAUAAGGUGAGCACAGUGUGUCGGGCAACAAAAGCCUGAAGAAGACUUGUUCAGAAGAAGGACAGGAGACCGAUUCCAGGGAAAGGUUCUGUGUGUUGGGGUUGAUGAGAACAUUUCCUGUACCUCACGCAGCCUUUCUCUCUUCGGGGGCCAAAUACUCACAGCACGGUAUCGUUUGCAGACAGGAAUUUUUUUUCUUCCCACUGAGCACACAGGGGGAGACGCCACCGGCUGGGGCAGAUCUCCCUGCGGCUGCAUAAAGACCUCCACAUACUGCUGAAACAUCAGCAAGGAGCCACGCUUACCUGGGAACAAAACCAGACUAUCCUUGGAGCAAUCGCAAUUAACCAAGAGCAUUGGAGGAUCGGGACCACGUUUGUAGCAAGCGCACACAGAAGGGUCAUUCACAGGCGGUGUGGAAAAUACUCAUGUUUUCGAUAUAAUGGUUUACAUCGCUCUUGGUCUACUGUACACGUAUAAAAGGCUGAAGAAAAGAAAGCAGGGACUCACUGUUGUGUCGUUGGUGGUGACGUACACAAGGAC